AAAGUUUGACAGACAAUCGCUGGCGGCCUUGUUGCCGCGAGAGGAAAGUCCGGGCUCCGCAGGGCAGGAUGCUGGAUAACGUCCAGUCAGCGCGAGCUGAAGGAUAGUGCCACAGAAAUGGACCGCCGAUGGCCGGCUUUAGAGCCGGUACAGGUAAGGGUGGAACCGUGGUGUAAGAGACCACGAGGAGCAUAGGUGACUAUGUUCCUGGUAAACCCCAUCUGGAGCAAGACCGAGAGGACGCCGCAGCCCCUAAGCUGCAGCCUUAGCCUGAGGCGCGUCCGGGUUGGUUGCUGGAGCCGUAUAGCAAUGUGCGGCCUAGAUAGAUGAUUGUCGCUUCAUCGUGGGAGGGUCGUUCCCGUUUGGACCACCAGAAGUACAGAACCCGGCUUACGGCAAACUUUCCGC
rfam:Bacillus sp. FJAT-26390 scaffold8, whole genome shotgun sequence.